GUGACCAGAAGGGGUGGAGCCUGGCUGCACCUCUCUUAGACCUCAUUUAAGGGCUGACUGCCACUGGGGAAGGAUCUCUGGUUGGAGAUCCCUUUCUGGUGGAGUUUUUCCAGGGAGUGACCUUUGGAGAUGGGAUUUCUCAAGAAAUGGCGACUUACAUCACCAUCUUUCUCCAGCUGACUGCACCACUAAACUCCUGGUCAUCUUUGGCGCAGCAGGAAGAGUCAAAGUCAGAAUGGUGACAAUCAACUGUGACAGCUCUGCAGCUUGUACUACUGGCGAGAGCAAUAGGAGAACUAAAGUAGAUGCAGGCAAGACGUUGCUCAGAGCCAUCAGCAAGAUGCAAGUGAGCUGACAGUCAGACUCUUGUACAAGAUUUUCAUGCCUUACAAGGUCUGCUAGGUUAUUUUAUGGAGUUCUGCACUUCAGGUAUUCCAGCCAGGUCUGUGUCCCCAGCUGAGAACUCCAGUGGUUUGCGUAGAAAGGAUGUCCAGAAGAAAAUAACACAGGCAGAAUUGGAUGUCAGUGUUGCUCUGAAGAACUGUUGGUUUAGCAAUUGGGGUGAGAGGACCGUUGUCCCUUAAACACCUGGCAUUUGGAGGCUUCUAAAGUAUACCAUGAAAAGCAAACAAAAUCUGAAGAUAACUGUGCAAGGGACAGUUCAUGAUUCCAUGCCUUGAGCAAUACCUCACAGAUGGGAUCUUAAGAGAAGAAAAUAGAUCUUUUCUGAUACUGGCUGACCCUACCAUACCAUGAGUAAGAACAAGCCAAAAGUCUGCAUGUCCACACAUCUCCUCACCCUCCACAGGAAGAUAU
ensembl:lncRNA